AAAGAUGUGGAACCAAAUUGGAGUUUCCACCAAGUUAGAAGAGCUUGCAGUCGAGCUAUUGACAGUCUCAAGUGCAAAGAGAGAAUGAAGAUAGAAGCAAGGAGGAGGUCAAAAGGAGGACCAGUCAGCAUGAUCAGCUCUUCAAAAAGAGGGUCAAAAUUGCUGAGAAGAUUCUCAAUCAA